CAGAAAGGUACUUCUUCAGCAUCAUCCAGCCUUGUAACAAGUGUGGGACUGCCUUCUACUGCAUUAAUUCAGACCUGGGGAUGAUGUAUCUAGAGAAACAAAGCUCGACCACAAAGAACCAUGUCAGAAAAACCCAAAGGAUAGACACACAAUAAUCAGGGUCCUCUAUGAAGCUGUUGCACAGCAUACAAUGUAUCCCACAAAUGCGGAAUAUGUCCAGGCUGUAAAGAUGUUGAUUGUGAAGUAUCUUUUUCUCAGGGAUCUUGAAGGAAAUGGUUACGUAAGUGAAACUGUAAAUCAGUGUAUUUAGUGUUGGGGAUUAAUGUAAAAUAUAAAAUUAGGAAUUUUACAGGUAUUCUGGGUUUUAGGCAUAGUUAAUGUCUUCCCUGUUUCUCUGAACAGAAAUGUUG